rnacentral:sRNA from 1 species
CAGCUGUGCCUGCUGAUACAGGGAGUUGUGUGUUACUGAGAGUACGCACAGAAGCUUUCCCUGCUGAUGCCUGCUCAAAUUAUGGGUCCAUCCAAUUGUGUGUUCACAGCUUUAGGAAAAGAAGGAGCUGCUUCCUGUCCUUUACAUCCAACAGCGUGGGAGACGUUCUCAUUUCAGCCUUUUGAGGCACGGAGGACCCAAACAACCCAUAUUACUUUGAUUUGAUGACGACUGGACUUCAACUUUUAAAAGCAACAAGGUUCACUACGCUAUCACGGCUGGCCUGAGAUUGACUUAGUAGACAAGACUGGCCGUGAAGUCACAGAUUUGUUUGCCUCUGUUUUACAGGUCUUUGGAACAAAGGGCUGGGGAUGAACCCAGGGCCUCUCAGAUGCUAGACAUGUGCUCCACUCCUGAGAUGCACUCCCUACCCCCUCAAUGGAGCAUCAGAGGUAGUGCUCCAUAUCUGUGGUUGUGGCUGGCUGUGGCUCAGUGACUCUUUGUAGGACCCCAACUGCCUCACUGGAGUGGAUCAGUCGCACUUGCACCUGGGCCCAUCCAGCCCAGAGCAGGGGGAAGGACAAGAGGAAUCCAGGAGAGAACAUUGAAUCCUGUGAAACUCAAAACUCAAGAUACAAAUGGUUGUGGCCUGCCAUAUGGUUGCUAGGAACUGAA